rnacentral:rRNA from 1 species
GACGAACGCUGGCGGCGUGCCUAAUACAUGCAAGUCGAGCGGACGAAUCGAAAGCUUGCUUUUGAUUCGUUAGCGGCGGACGGGUGAGUAACACGUGGGCAACCUGCCCUGUAGACGGGGAUAACACCGAGAAAUCGGUGCUAAUACCGGAUAACACGAAAUGUCGCAUGACGUUUCGUUGAAAGACGGCGCAAGCUGUCGCUACAGGAUGGGCCCGCGGCGCAUUAGCUAGUUGGUGAGGUAACGGCUCACCAAGGCGACGAUGCGUAGCCGACCUGAGGGGGGGAUCGGCCACACUGGGAGUGAGACACGGCCCAGACCCCUACGGGAGGCAGCGGUGGGGAAUCUUCCGCAAUGGACGAAAGUCUGGCGGAGCAACGCCGGGUGGGCGAAGAAGGCCUUGGGGUGGUAAAGCUCUGUUGUUGGGGAAGAACAAGUAACGCGGUAACUGGCGUUACCGGGAGGGUACCUGGGGAGAAAGCCACGGCUAACUACGU